CUGGAUGAUGAUUUAACUGCCUUCCUUGUCAACAAUGGUUCUGGUCUGGCAAAUGCCUGGUUUGCUGGUUAUGAUGCUCCAGGGCCAUCUACCCCUCCAUUAUGGGGUUGCCCUAGGCACCAGGGCAUCACGGUGGGUAAGAGACAGAAGGACACCUUUGUGGGUACUGAGGCCCAUUGCAAGAGAGGCAUCCUGAUCCUGAAGUACCCACAUUGGUCAUGACAUUGUCACGAACUGGUUCAAUAUGGAGAAGAUCUGGCACCAAACAUUCUACAACAAACUGCAUGUGGUCCUCCAAAGGAACACUGUGCUGCUCACCAUUCCCCCUAGAGCCCUAAGGCCAACUGUGAAAAGAUGACCCACAUCAUUUUUUGAGACUUAUAAAACCACAACCAUGUAAGUAGCCAUCCAGUCUGUGCUGUUCCUCUAGGCCUCUGGUCAUACCACUGCGAUUUUGAUGGAGCCCAGAGAUGGGGUCACACAGAAUGUGCACAUCUAUGAGAUAAUGUGCAUAUCUCUGCUCUCCUUGUGCCAUCCCGUGUCUGGACCUAGCUGGCCUGUACCUGACAGACUACUACAUGAAGUUCAUGACCACAUGUGGCUAUAGUUCACCAAAAAGCUGGGAGGGAAAUCAUGCCUAAUAUCAGAGAGAAGCUGUGCUAUGUUGCCUUAGACUUCCAGCAAGAGAUGGCCACUGAUGUGUUCUCUUCCUCAGCAGACAAGAGCUAUAAGCAUCCAGGUCAUCACUAUUGUCAAUAAGCAGUUCUGCUGCCCUUAGGCUUUUGUUUAGCCUUCCUUCUUGGGUAAUGGAAUCCUGUGGCAACCACGAAACAACAUUUAAUUCCAUCAUGAAGUGUGACAUUGACAUU
rnacentral:lncRNA from 1 species